rnacentral:rRNA from 1 species
GGUGUGUAAGCGCAGCGAUGCGUUGAGCUAACCGGUACUAAUGACCCGUGAGGCUUAACCUUACAACGCCAGAGGCGUUUUG